CUUUCAGCCAUUUUAUGGCCAGAAGUGAGGAGUUCAGGAGUAUCAGGAUUCAGUCAAUCUUCCAAACCGCUUGUCUUUUUCAUGGUCACAGGGUGGAGCUUUUCUCAGCGCUCACUGAACAAGACAGGGUGAGGAAACCAUCACAGACACUCUGAGGAUGGAGGAAAAUAUUAAUUGUUCUGUCAGAGUCUGACCAUCAACGCCUGUCAAGACAAAAAAGAAAAUAUUCACUAGCUAUACUUGAGCAAAAGACAGAUUCAACUAAAGAUCUUUUGAUAUUUUUUCACCUGUCCAGCAGUAAGUUAAAAGCAGCAGUCCUGUCCUAUAGCCUACCUGUAAUGAUUCCAUCUCAGAAAUGAAAUCAUUGUGCUACAGAGUGCCUGUAGGACACAGUUCACAUUGGGAAAUGUGUCACUGUGGCACUUACGUCCAGUACUCCGUCAAGUGAUGCAAGUCCACUGCGGUUAAACUGGCUGUUGCCACAUUUGUCACUAACUGUAGUGGAUAGGAGAGACCUGGAUUGGACUUGGCUUUCAGUUUAUCAUUUGAUGAAAUUGGAGAAUCAAUGAUCAGGAGUCAUUCCUCCAAGUCAGUUAAUUCAAAGUUUGUCUGCCAUGCUUUAAACACCAUAAACACAUAUCCAACUU